rnacentral:rRNA from 1 species
UGCUACAGGCUUAACAUAUGCAAGUCGAGGGGCAGCAUGGUCUUAGCUUGCUAAGGCCGAUGGCGACCGGCGCACGGGUGAGUAACACGUAUCCAACCUGCCGUCUACUCUUGGACAGCCUUCUGAAAGGAAGAUUAAUACAAGAUGGCAUCAUGAGUCCACAUGUUCACAUGAUUAAAGGUAUUCCGGUAGACGAUGGGGAUGCGUUCCAUUAGAUAGUAGGCGGGGUAACGGCCCACCUAGUCUUCGAUGGAUAGGGGUUCUGAGAGGAAGGUCCCCCACAUUGGAACUGAGACACGGUCCAAACUCCUACGGGAGGCAGCAGUGAGGAAUAUUGGUCAAUGGGCGAGAGCCUGAACCAGCCAAGUAGCGUGAAGGAUGACUGCCCUAUGGGUUGUAAACUUCUUUUAUAAAGGAAUAAAGUCGGGUAUGCAUACCCGUUUGCAUGUACUUUAUGAAUAAGGAUCGGCUAACUCCGUGCCAGCAGCCGCGGUAAUACGGAGGAUCCGAGCGUUAUCCGGAUUUAUUGGGUUUAAAGGGAGCGUAGAUGGAUGUUUAAGUCAGUUGUGAAAGUUUGCGGCUCAACCGUAAAAUUGCAGUUGAUACUGGAUAUCUUGAGUGCAGUUGAGGCAGGCGGAAUUCGUGGUGUAGCGGUGAAAUGCUUAGAUAUCACGAAGAACUCCGAUUGCGAAGGCAGCCUGCUAAGCUGCAACUGACAUUGAGGCUCGAAAGUGUGGGUAUCAAACAGGAUUAGAUACCCUGGUAGUCCACACGGUAAACGAUGAAUACUCGCUGUUUGCGAUAUACAGCAAGCGGCCAAGCGAAAGCGUUAAGUAUUCCACCUGGGGAGUACGCCGGCAACGGUGAAACUCAAAGGAAUUGACGGGGGCCCGCACAAGCGGAGGAACAUGUGGUUUAAUUCGAUGAUACGCGAGGAACCUUACCCGGGCUUAAAUUGCAGAUGAAUUACGGUGAAAGCCGUAAGCCGCAAGGCAUCUGUGAAGGUGCUGCAUGGUUGUCGUCAGCUCGUGCCGUGAGGUGUCGGCUUAAGUGCCAUAACGAGCGCAACCCUUGUUGUCAGUUACUAACAGGUCAUGCUGAGGACUCUGACAAGACUGCCAUCGUAAGAUGUGAGGAAGGUGGGGAUGACGUCAAAUCAGCACGGCCCUUACGUCCGGGGCUACACACGUGUUACAAUGGGGGGUACAGAGGGCCGCUACCACGCGAGUGGAUGCCAAUCCCAAAAACCUCUCUCAGUUCGGACUGGAGUCUGCAACCCGACUCCACGAAGCUGGAUUCGCUAGUAAUCGCGCAUCAGCCACGGCGCGGUGAAUACGUUCCCGGGCCUUGUACACACCGCCCGUCAAGCCAUGGGAGCCGGGGGUACCUGAAGUGCGUAACCGCGAGGAGCGCCCUAGGGUAAAACUGGUGACUGGGGCU